ACAGUUAUCUAUAUUUCUAUUAUAUAGAUAGACAGACAGACAGAAAGAUUUUUACUGCUCCUUCUAUAGGAAAUGUUUCCCGAUAAAGCAAGUCACUGCUGGACUCAUGACUGCUCUUUGCAGGGUUAGCUUGGAAGUACUACAUGGAAGCCAACAUAGAAAGACCGGACCAAGGGGUAAAGGUCGGCGGGCCCCCAUUCCCCCAGCCACAUGUCCAGCUACAGUGCCCAGUUCUUGUUUUGUGCUGCGUCUGAUCACCUGACCACACAGUUCAAGCAAGCACUGGAAACCUGGCGUGGUUUGACUCUGUUGUGCCAAAUCACUGGGUCAGACCUAGUUGCUAGAGCCCAGAAGAUCUCCCAUCUUCAGUCAGGCUCUCCCGGACAGCAGUUCUUCAAUAAGAUGCCAGUUUGCCUCAUCUAAUCAAAUCUGCCUUUAAACCGUACCCUGCUAACCGCUGGCUGUGACCCAUGUGUUUAAGAGAAGAGGCAAUGCUCAGCCUCCGCUGGGCGGGGAGCACAGGGUUUUCAUCACUAAGUCUCUCUGGAGGAAGGCUGAGCGCCACCACCCAGGGAAACAGGAAACACACAUGAGCCUGCCUACAGAGGUUUGUCUCCAGGAUUUUCAGGUCUGGGAUGUUUUAAUGACAGCAUGAACCAACAGGAACCCCAGCAAGUGACAGGGGCUCCCUGGAUUCCUGAUGUGCCUUAUUCCAUUUAGAACAGCACCCCCUCCCACGCAACACGCAGUUCCUGUCUCUCUGGCUCCAUUAUCCUAAUGUUCUGCAUGAGGAAGUGAAGCAGAAUCAGGGCCAACUUUGAAUGGAUUAGGUAUGACCGUCAGCGGAGGGACUCAAGGCCCAGGUCACAGUGCUGAGGAUCUCACUUAGCCCAGGCUGUCUCCAACUUGUCGUCUAGCCGUGCUAGCCUUGCGCUCCCGAUCGAUCCUCCUGCUCCACUCCUGAGUGCUGGGAUUGCAGACAUAGACCUACUACCAGGGCUAGCUCUGUGCUGAUCUCUGCUGAGAACCUAAGAAGUUUAUAUCCUUGUUUCAAUACUCUAUAAUAGAGAAUCCAAUUAGGUGCCAUGAUCUGAUACCUAGCAGGGAGAUGACACGUGUUGGGCAGUAAAUAUUUAGAAUCAAUUAAUCAAUGCCAUUCUAAAUAGAGUAGUUUUAAUAUUUUGUCAAUGGUUUGCUCUUUUUGAGGUGGGGUCUCAUUACAUAGUUCAGGUUGGUCUGUGAUUUUCUGUGUAGUCUCAAACUUGUAGGCAUCCUGCUUCAGUAGUUUGAGUGUUGCGAUUAAAAGUGUUAAUUGUGAUUAAUUAACACUGUGAUUGGCUCGAUUUUAAUUUUGACGAAAUUCUGUUUAUGGUUUCUCUUUUCAGUGUGGAAUCUAAAUAACAGUGGCAAACCCAUGGUAGAGAGAUUUCCUCCUGUGUUUUCUUUCAGAAGUUUUAUACUGGUAGCUUUUACUUUUAGGUCUGUUAGUCAUUUAAUUGCCCUUUUUUGAAAAUUAUUUAUUGUUAUUAUUUUAAGUUAUAUGUUUGGAGGGCUAGGAAGAUGCACCCGAGUUCAGGUGCCUGUACUAUGGAGACCAGAAGAGAACAUCAGUAACCUACCAGACAUGGGUGCUGGGCAUUAAAGCAAUAAGAACUCUUAACUACUGAGCCAUAUCUCCUGUUCUAGCAGGAAGAUUCUAGAAACAUCAGUCUAUGCUUUGCAGAUGCAUUGAAAACAGCUUAAGAGUGUAGUAUAAUGUCUUCUAUCUUGAAACAUGAUCUUUAAGUUGUUUACCCAGAAAAAAUCUCUGACAUCGCCAUCUUUAUCCUUUGACUCAUCCUCCUGAGAGUCCUCCAUUCUCUCCCCAAGUCCACCUCUUAAAAUAAAACAAAAACAAAAAAACCACUCUGGCUAGAAUGCCGUUGUUUCAGAAUAACUCUGUCCAGAAAAAUAGAUAUUGCUCAUCACUUUCCACUCUUCCCCACCCUGACCGGAUAACAACCCAAACCGCCAUUCCCAAAUGCAACCCCUACACUGUUUACAACAUAAUCUUCAGCCUAGAACUCCAGGAGCAGACCACAACAGGAAGCUGAGGCCUGUGCUAGAUGCGCAAUUACAGAGGUCGAGGAUAUUUGGGCUAAAGUCUAGCUGCUCUAACCUCACCCUGAUUGCCCUGCACGCAGGACGCUGGGUGUAGGAACUUCUGUAGGAAGUUGGGGGAGAAGGAUGCUAUCUUGUGCUUUGAAUUUAUGAAGCCCCUGAAGACUUGAAUUCAGAGCUCUUUCUGACUGUUCACAAGUUCCAGAUGUUAUGGCCUGGUCCUUCCCCCUUUGGCAUUCUGGGAAGGACCAAAGGAAGCAGAGAGAGGAAGGACUUUGUUCCAUCUUGAUUAGAUGUGGAGGAGAAUGUUUGCUUCCUGUGGUUAGGCUCCUGUCCUUCACUGUUUGUGUCACAUUUUGUUUGUUUGUGGCUCACAAUUGUCCUGGCAGGAAAGUCUCCCCUGCACCCCACCGUCCUUUCUUAACCCAGUCUGUUCUGUGAAUCUAACCUACUCAGGCGUUUUCUGUGAUUCUCUCUCUCACCUUAAAACAGUGACAUAUUAACACACACACACACACACACACACAGAGAGAGAGAGAGAGAGAGAGAGAGAGAGAGAGAGAGAGAGCACAGCAGCAGCAGCAGCAGCAGCAGCAGCAGCUAGGAAAGUUGCUGGAGUUCACAAUUAAGACACAACCGGCAUGCAUUAGCCGCUUUCCACCCUGGUGGAGGUAUCGGGGAGGCAGAGAGGGAAUCAACAGCUUAUUAGAGUGCAGUUAGAGACGCAUGCCACCCAAGGCGGGAACAUGAAAGCGCGACACUUAACCUAGCCAGGCUGCAACAAUGUGGAGUAGGGAGAUAGGAAAGAUUCUAAGGAGGAAGAAAUAGUUCCCACUGAGUUCUGAGACGAUCAAAACUCAGUAUAGGAUGUCAGGGGGGUGGUCUCAGAGAUCCGCAAGGCAUGAGAGAGCUCAGGAAACCCAGGGAAGAACAGAUGGCUCCAUGGACCGCAGUCCACUCUGGGCUAGUUUGAAGUUAGUUGUUCCUUGUAACCGAGUUUGUCUAGUUUUGUUCCGAGCAGAAGCUGGCUGCUACAACGGUGAAAGGUGUGUCCAUACAAUGUGCAAGUGUUCUGAUUUUCCCAUGCCAGUUAGCCUUUUAGUUCAUUCAGGCGAAGUCAUUCAGAUAGGCAGCCCCAUUCUCCUGAUAAUGUUUCACGGUUUCUACAGCAGUCACAGGGAUGACGAUGUUUAUAUGCACUGCCCAGUUUUAUGCCAACUUGACACAAACUAUAGUCACCUGAGAUAACUGAGAAAAUGCCUCCAUAAGAUUGGGCUGUAUACAAGCCUGUAAGGCAUUUUCUUAAGUCAGUUGUUGAUAGGCAAGGUGUCGAUCCCUGGGCUAGUGGCUCUGGGGUCUAAAGAAAGCAGGCCGAGCAAGUCACGAGGAGCACUUCUCCAUGGCUUCUGCAUCGGCUCCUGCCUCCAGGUUCCUGCCCUGCUUGACUUCCUGUCCUGACUUCCUCCAGCAAUGAACAGUGCUCUGGAAGUGUGAGCCUCAUAACCCUUUCCUCCCCAGGCUGCUUUUAGUUAUGUGUUUCAUAACAGUGACAGUCGCGCUGAUGAGUCCGCAGUGCAGAGAAGGAACGCGCCUAAGAUGCUUUCUGGCGGAGGUCUGACAACGUGGUCCUCUAUGCUGGGCUAGCUUUCGAGUGAUUUGCCUGAGACUCGCUCCCUGGAGGACUGCUCUAAAACUGGGGUUAAACAGAAUGUGAUGGAGACGCAGCAAGAGAUUUGGCAAACCUUUGAAAGCCAAAGUGCGAAGUUUGAGCUUGCUUCCCUGGGCAGAGUCCAAGAGAUUACGCGCCUGGUGGACUCCAUACAAUAGAGUGAGCCAUGCAGAUGGAGAUUUGACUGUUCUGGAUUGCUUUUACUGUACACUUUGGUCUUCCCUACUGAGUUAUUCAUGCUGUGGGAGAAAUCCUACCUAGCAUUGCCCGUGUUCCUCUACACAUGUUCCAGCACAUAGGAAGUUAUCAGAGACAAGGUGGUUGGUAGUUUUUACUGGGAUAAUAAGGGGGAGGUACAGACCUUUAGAAAAAGACUUUGUGAAAACCUUACAGAAUCAGGUCUCUAAGCAAAGAUUUGGAGUUUUCAUUUUAAUAUAGAGUCUGAGGUGGUUUGUAGUUGUAGUAAACGGCUAUUUCUCUUGAUUUUCCCUUUUCUCCCACUAGGAGGCAGCACUACUCCCGUUGCAUUCAAGGACGGGGUUCCUUAAACAAAUACAUAAUACAUAUAAAGUAUAUUUCCCCACAGUGUGAACACAUACCUUAAUCUCUGACCUUAGUUGAUUAGGAAUAUGUUAUUUGGGGUCUUUUUGCUUAAAGCUCAAGGCAGAAGGUUCUGGAACACAUAGUUCUAACCUCUAAUUAUCUCCCGAGGAAUGGUUUCAUGUACCAAUGAAAACAGAAGCAUCUUCAUGGAGGAUUGACUUCACAAGCAGCAACUGUUGAUUUCAAAGAUUAUAAAAUUCUACAAUAGAGAAGAAGUGUGUGUGUGGGAGGGGUUGGGGGUUGGGUUUUUCAUUGACUUUUAUGCAACUUUGGG